rnacentral:rRNA from 1 species
CCUACGGGUGGCAGCAGUGGGGAAUAUUGGACAAUGGGCGAAAGCCUGAUCCAGCCAUGCCGCGUGUGUGAAGAAGGCCUUCGGGUCGUAAAGCACUUUCAGUGGGGAAGAAAGCCUUGGGGCUAAUACCCUCGAGGAAGGACAUCACCCACAGAAGAAGCACCGGCUAACUCCGUGCCAGCAGCCGCGGUAAUACGGAGGGUGCGAGCGUUAAUCGGAAUUACUGGGCGUAAAGCGCGCGUAGGCGGUCUGAUAAGCCGGUUGUGAAAGCCCCGGGCUCAACCUGGGAACGGCAUCCGGAACUGUCAGGCUAGAGUGCAGGAGAGGAAGGUAGAAUUCCCGGUGUAGCGGUGAAAUGCGUAGAGAUCGGGAGGAAUACCAGUGGCGAAGGCGGCCUUCUGGACUGACACUGACGCUGAGGUGCGAAAGCGUGGGUAGCAAACAGGAUUAGAUACCCUUGUAGUC